ACAGGAAUUUAGGAAAUAGGGAAUGUCUGCCGGCUGUCUGAAAAAAUCAACAAGGUGGUCAACAAAGAGUACCGCUUUGUCAUAAUUGGUGAUAGCUCAACAAAUGUCUGAUUUUUUUAAAAGAUAAUAGUACUUAAAUACUUGGAAGCUACGGAGAAUUUUCCUCUUCGUAUAUAGAAGUAGCAGUUUUUGAUAGAAAGGGCAUUUAUCGAAUGAUUAGUUG